rnacentral:rRNA from 1 species
AUUGAACGCUGGCGGCAUGCCUUACACAUGCAAGUCGAACGGCAGCACGGGUGCUUGCACCUGGUGGCGAGUGGCGAACGGGUGAGUAAUACAUCGGAACAUGUCCUGUAGUGGGGGAUAGCCCGGCGAAAGCCGGAUUAAUACCGCAUACGAUCUACGGAUGAAAGCGGGGGCCCUUCGGGCCUCGCGCUAUAGGGUUGGCCGAUGGCUGAUUAGCUAGUUGGUGGGGUAAAGGCCUACCAAGGCGACGAUCAGUAGCUGGUCUGAGAGGACGACCAGCCACAUUGGGACUGAGACACGGCCCAGACUCCUACGGGAGGCAGCAGUGGGGAAUUUUGGACAAUGGGCGAAAGCCUGAUCCAGCAAUGCCGCGUGUGUGAAGAAGGCCUUCGGGUUGUAAAGCACUUUUGUCCGGAAAGAAAUCCUUGGCCCUAAUACGGUCGGGGGAUGACGGUACCGGAAGAAUAAGCACCGGCUAACUACGUG